UUGGAACCAGAUUCAUUCACCCAGCCACAUUUAAGAGCUUCUGGGGCUGUGUGUCAGACAUUCUGCUAGUUGCUGGCAUAGAGUGAUGGAGAAAGUAAACACAGUGCCUGGUCUCAGGGGCUCCCAGACCAGCAGGGCAGGCUGACAGAUACACAUUUGCUCACACCUGACUACUAGCAGGGGCAACAUGCAGAGGCCCAUGAAGGAGGCGUUGGGCUGGAGCUAGGGCUCCGGGUGUGACUUGGCCCCUGCCUUUUGUCCGGACUGGAUGACUCAGGGCAGCCAGGCUGGAGAGGCAGAAGGAAGCAAGGAGACUGAUGGAGGAAAUGCUUCAGAGAAGAGGAAAUAUGCAGAAUGUCCCUUUCUCAUCCCACGUGGCUCAGGCCUAAUGACAAAAGCACGUCACCUACAGAUGUUCCUGAAUGGCACUGGGGCCCUUGGGCUUAGGAGUUGACUUUCGCAGGGUCCCUGGACUUCGAGGUGCUACUGUCUGGCAUCUCCUUCAAGGGAAAGCCAGAUCUCCAAACAGCGGCAGAACCAGGCAUGUAGAGCCCAGUGAGUGGCUAGGAGUCAGUGGGGCUCUCUACCUGCCCAUCUCAUCCAGGGCACAACAGGGCCUGGCCUGGAGGACAGUGUCCCCGCUCAGCUCUGCCAGUCAGACUGACACUAUCAUCUCAACCUUAGUGGGGAUGGAUUUAGCAAGCCAAAGCUCCCUGGAAGAGGAAAUUCCUUUCCUGCAGAGCUCUCCAGGAGAAGCAGAGAAAGAUCUCAGCGCUCAGAGAUUAGCUGGGAUUGCUCUGGAGGCAUGUGAUGAUGGUCAUAAUAGCACCAAGGAAUGACAUACUGUUGAUUUGCUCUCAGGCACAGUACCAAGCAUUUGACCUGAAUUAUUCAAUCCACACACCAGUCACGAGACAGGUGUUUUUAGUUGUCUCCAUUGUACAGAUGAAGAAACUGAGGUGGAGUGGGGUUAAACCACUUGUCAGGGUCAGUAUCAGCAUUGAAUCCCUGCAGCCUGACCUGGGGUCCUCGGCUCUGACCAACUUGGUGAUGUUGUCUCCUCCUGGAAGUUCUUACUGAUCACUUAUAGACAGAUCAGGGAUUUCUUUAUGGCAAGGUAUAUACAAAGGAAAGUGCCGAUAGUCUUUAUUUUUAAAACCUUCAAAGAAAGCAGAAAAGUUAGAAGCAGAAACAGAAGAAAAAAAGAUUUAGAUCAAGUAGUAAUUAUUCAAUAACUCAAGUUUAGAAAGAUACUAGAUUUGGGGCACCUGGGUGGCUCAGUCAGUUAAGUGAUCGACUUCAGCUCAGGUCGUGAUCUCAGUUUGUGAGUUUGAGCCCCUCAAUGGUCUCCAUGCUGACAGCUCAGAACCUGAAGCCUGCUUUGGAUUCUGUCUCAUUCUCCUCUGCCCCUCCCCCACUUGUGCUCUGUCUCUCUCAGUCUCUCAAAAAUAAAUAAAAAUGUAAAAAAAAUUAAAAAAAGAAA
rnacentral:lncRNA from 1 species